GUAGUCAUAUGCUUGUCUCAAAGCCUAAGCCAUGCAAGUCUCAGUACGAGCUGCAUUAAAGUGAAACCGCAAAAGGCUCAGUAAACCAAUCGUAGUUCACCGGGUAUAUGCCACGUGACGUGGAUAACUGUGGUAAUUCUAGAGCUAAUACAUGCAAACAAGUCCCGACCAGCGAUGGGGAGGACGCUUUUAUUGGAUCAAAACCAUUCGCCCGGACUACCGGGCGUCGGCUUGAUGACUCUAGAUAACACCACAGAUCGCACGGUCACGGCACCGGUGACCUACCCUUCAAAUGUCUGACUUAUCAGCUGUCGAUGGUAGACUCUGUGUCUACCAUGGCGCUCACGGGUGACGGGGAAUCAGGGUUCGAUUCCGGAGAGGGAGCCUGAGAAACGGCUACCACAUCCAAGGAAGGCAGCAGGCACGCAAAUUACCCACUCCCGGCACGGGGAGGUAGUGACAAAAAAUAACGAUACGGGACUCAUCCGAGGCCCCGUAAUCGGAAUGAGAACACCCUAAAUCCUUUAACGAGGAUCUGUUGGAGGGCAAG
rnacentral:rRNA from 1 species